rnacentral:rRNA from 1 species
AUACGAAGGGGGCUAGCGUUGUUCGGAAUUACUGGGCGUAAGGCGCGCGUAGGCGGAUUGGUCAGUUAGGGGUGAAGUCCCAGGGCUUAACCCUGGAACUGCCUCUAAUACUGCCAGUCUUGAGUUCGGGAGAGGUGAGUGGAAUUCCUAGUGUAGAGGUGAAAUUCGUAGAUAUUAGGAAGAACACCAGUGGCGAAGGCGGCUCACUGGCCCGAUACUGACGCUGAGGCGCGAAAGCGUGGGGAGCAAACAGGAUUAGAUACCCUAGUAGUCC